AGGUUACUGUUGAUGUUCCUGACAUUCGAGGAAGAACAGAGAUAUUAAAGGUUCACGGUAGCAACAAGAAGUUUGAUGCAGAUGUGUCUCUUGAUGUGAUAGCCAUGAGAACACCUGGGUUCAGUGGUGCUGACCUUGCAAACCUCUUAAAUGAGGCUGCUAUAUUGGCUGGACGACGUGGGAAAGCUGCUAUUUCAUCUAAAGAGAUUGAUGAUUCGAUUGAUAGGAUUGUGGCUGGAAUGGAAGGAACUGUCAUGACAGAUGGGAAGAGUAAAAGUCUUGUUGCAUACCAUGAAGUUGGCCACGCAAUAUGCGGGUAAGUAGGAUUAUUUUUAUUUAUUUGUCUUUUAUGAAAUUUACCAGAUGAAUUAUAAUAAGGCCUUUGAUUAAUCUUCAGUUUAAGCCGAUCCAUAGUUUUAGCCUGCGAAAGUUUUAUGCUAUUUUGUUAGAUAUAAUGGUAUAUAAUUGAUGGAAAUCAUCUCAAUGAACUCACCAUUUGGCACAACUAAGGUGCCUUGAUUGUGUUAUUUAUGUGAUAGUGGUUAGUUAAAUUGGUGGUCAAUGAAUUUUUUGAAUCUCUAAGGAAGAGUCUAAAAAUUAUAUUUUCUACUAAACCUGACUAUAGUUAAUAGUAUGAAACUUGUAUAAAUAUGAGAUAAAGUUUUCCAAUUAAAAUAUGAUUUUGGUUACUGCUUGGUGGAAGUUUUGGAUGGUAGACUAGCAAAUCCUUUACUUUGAUAAGAAGUUUUGGAUGGUUGGUUACAGAACCUUUGCUUUGAUGAAGGUAGCAUCUAGCCUGAAUUCCUGGUCAAACAUACAAAAAACUGCCAGUUAGGCUGAAAAGCAUUGUCAUGAUACCAAUGGGAGUACAUGUUCAUGUUUAAAAGUUUAAGCUUGCAUCAUAUAUACAAUGCAGUAAGUUGAAGCUAGACUAGACUAUGUACUACUUUUAGAGUCAUCUUAUAAGAAUCUGGGUAGAUUUGCUAAUGCAGCAUUCUUAUUUUGGCAAGCACUCUUUGUAAGCACAGUAAAGUUUGCUACAGGAAUGUAAGCAGGACUUUACGAGCAAUCCAUCAAUCUCCUCUUACCCUUCUCCAUUCCUCUGUUUUCAUCUAUAAUUGAUUUUUUUUCUUCCAUCUGUUCUUCUUUUCCUGAGGUUCAUCUUUUAGGCUUUGUUAGAUGUCUGUUUUGCUACUAUCUAGUUGUUUUAAGAACUUAUGGAAUUGUUUUACUUUCUUUUGGUUCCAGAACUUUGACUCCAGGACACGAUCCCGUUCAAAAAGUCACCCUUGUUCCACGUGGUCAGGCAAGAGGUCUUACCUGGUUCAUCCCUUCAGAUGACCCCACCUUGAUAUCGAAGCAGCAGCUCUUUGCAAGAAUUGUUGGUGGACUCGGUGGUAGAGCUGCUGAGGAAGUGAUUUUUGGAGAGCCUGAAGUGACAACAGGAGCAGCUGGUGAUUUGCAGCAGA
rnacentral:lncRNA from 1 species